ensembl:antisense 1700095B10Rik RIKEN cDNA 1700095B10 gene
GGUGAAUUAUCAUAGCGUGGAGCAGUGGACGGUGGGGGUAGCGGUGUCUGGGGUUGAGAAGACCGUGGAGAGAUACACAGAAGUGUCUCCAGCUUCCAGAACACUCUAUAUCACUACAGGUGCUCAGGCAAUGUGUCCAUCGAAUCUGAACUUCAGCCACCCUAUGGUACCCUUUACACCAUCUACCUAAAAGAUCUGUGUGUGUUCUUGGGAAUUUGACAUCAAAACCCACUUCUAAUCCAGAGUUUAUGGUGGAGAGAGGGACCCUACAGGCAGCUCAUGGUUCCUACUCUGCUGGUUCUCCAGCAGCACCCGUGUGUCCUCCAGGUCCCAGGUGAGGUGGUGACACUUCCUCUUCAGCUGGUCAGCAGCCAUGGAUGCUGGGAGAGAGAGGACCUCAGAGGAGUUCCUGUCAGUGUCAGGAAGCCGCUUCCCCAAGCCCCACUUUGUUGGGAGGUAAUUCCCAGCUCACUUUGUGGUCAGUCCAUCAGCCUCGCCUCUGCCAACCUCCUGCCCCACACUCUUAAUUCAUUUUUCCUUGCCCUGCUUCGACUUGACACUUGGACUGGCAGUUGACAGAUGGCUCUAUCAUCUGGGGAGACUUGUGAAGAUUAGCUUCAGAGUCACAAAGAGGGAACUCCCGGCCACUAGGGGUGGCCCCACAAGAGCAAGUGGCAGUGUGGCUCCUCUUAGUGUGGGCUGAAACUGAAACCCAC